rnacentral:lncRNA from 1 species
UUCGCUGGUAGUAAUAACAUGGGUUGCGCUGUACGUGGCAUGGACAACGUGCAGCCAGGGGUGCUGGUGCCGGAGGCGCUGGGGCUGGGCAACUGGGUGAAGGCGCAGGAGUGGGCGGCGCUCCCAGACGGGCAGGCGACGUACCUGGGCAACCCGGUGCCGUGGGGCAACCUGCCGACCAUCCUGGCGAUCGAGUUCCUGGCCAUCGCCUUCGCGGAGCAGCAGCGCACCAUGGAGAAGGACCCGGAGAAGAAGAAGUACCCCGGCGGCGCCUUCGACCCGCUCGGCUUCUCCAAGGACCCCGCCAAGUUCGAGGAGCUCAAGCUCAAGGAGAUCAAGAACGGUACGUCCCAGUCCCAUCACAUAUACCCCGUUAUCGAAUGAAGAAUCAUACGUAGAUAGAACAAGCUGACGCGUUCGUCCGUGGGGAAUGCAUUGCAGGGCGGCUGGCGAUGCUGGCGUUCGUGGGGUUCUGCGUGCAGCAGUCGGCGUACCCCGGCACCGGCCCGCUGGAGAACCUGGCCACGCACCUCGCGGACCCGUGGCACAACAACAUCGGCGACAUCGUCAUCCCCAGAAAUAUCUACGGCCCUUGAGCGGAGCCGACCGGGCUGAGAGGAGAUCGAGGAGCCGGAGCGCAUGGUUUUCAUUCAUGUUUCUGAGUCGAUCCAUUGGUUGAUCAC